UAGUCCACGCCGUAAACGAUGAUUACUCGCUGUAGGCGAUACACAGUCUGUGGCUAAGCGAAAGUUUUAAGUAAUCCACCUGGGGAGUACGAUCGCAAGAUUGAAACUCAAAGGAAUUGACGGGGGCCCGCACAAGCGGAGGAACAUGUGGUUUAAUUCGAUGAUACGCGAGGAACCUUACCUGGACUUAAAUGUGCGUUGCAUAGAUCAGAGAUGGUCUUUUCUUCGGACUACGUACAAGGUGCUGCAUGGUUGUCGUCAGCUCGUGCCGUGAGGUGUCGGGUUAAGUCCCAUAACGAGCGCAACCCCUAUCCUUAGUUGCCAGCGGGUGAUGCCGGGGACUCUGAGGAGACUGCCACCGUAAGGUGUGAGGAAGGUGGGGAUGACAUCAAAUCAGCACGGCCCUUAUGUCCAGGGCUACACACGUGUUACAAUGGCGGGUACAGAGGGCAGCGAAACCGCGAGGUGGAGCCAGUCCCAGAAAGCCCGUCCCAGUUCGGA
rnacentral:rRNA from 1 species